rnacentral:misc_RNA from 1 species
GAUGAAGAACGCAGCGAAAUGCGAUAAGUAGUGUGAAUUGCAGAAUUCAGUGAAUCAUCGAAUCUUUGAACGCACAUUGCGCCCCUUGGUAUUCCAUGGGGCAUGCCUGUUCGAGCGUCAUUUGUACCCUCAAGCUUUGCUUGGUGUUGGGUGUUUGUCCCGCGUUGCGCGUGGACUCGCCUUAAAGCGAUUGGCAGCCGGCAUAUUGGCCUUGGAGCGCAGCACAUUUUGCGCUUCUAGUCAUGAAUGUUGGCGUCCAUAAAGCCUAUACAUUUGCUCUUGACCUCGGAUCAGGUAGGGAUACCCGCUGAACUUAAGCAUAUCAAUAAGCGGAGGA